UGCUGCUCUACCUCUUUUUGUCCCUGAACCCACCUCUUCUUCCUCAUUCUCAUGUUUCACUCCUGAUUCUUCCUCUUCCUCUACGAGGCACCUCAAGAUGGGAAACUUCUUUAGCUUGGCACAGUGGCAAGAACUUGAGCUACAAGCACUGAUCUACAGAUACAUGCUGGCUGGUGCUUCUGUUCCUCAAGAGCUCCUCUUGCCCAUCAAGAAAAGUCUCUUCCAUCAAUCUCCUUUGAACUUCCUUCAGCAUCCUCUGCAACAUAACUUCCCUCAUCACCAAGCUUCUUGUGAGACUCUCUCAAUCUUUGUCUUGUUUAUACUUCUAUUUUUUUU